rnacentral:lncRNA from 1 species
GCCCAUCUUCCUCCAUUUCAUCCGUGGCUCACCUGCCACAGCAUGGCCUGAUAAGCAGUGUAUAGGUCUGUGCCAGAAUGGGAACCUACAAACCCCAGGCCGCCAAAGAGGAGCACACAAACUUAACCUCUACACCACUGGGCUGGCCCCAUUUUUGGUGAUUUCUAACGGGUAAAAACUAGGCAGGGAGAUUAGGUAAGAUGAUAUAGCAAAAAUUCAGGCAUUAAGAAAUAAGGUUAGACUAGGCUGGCGAUGGCGGCCAUGGAUUGGAAAGGAAGGAAGGAUGGAUGCAGCAUCAUAAGGGAAAAAUUUGCUUCUUUCCCUUUGUCUUUUCAGCCAUUUGGGCUUAACGGUGUUCAGUGCUCCUGAUUUAUUUCCCUUCCCAUUUAUAUUUUCCUUCUUCCCUUGAUAAUCUACUUUUGCUUUCCCAUUUUUCCCUCUCUUCUCUCCUUUGCUUGCGUUCUUAUCACCUUCCCUGAUAGGACGAUGACUGAAUCAGGCAGGUAGACAUCAAAUGGGAGAUCUGAGUAGAAACUAACUAUAAGAUUUACUAAUUAGAGUAUGUUGCUGCUUAAAACAUUUUUUUAACCUUUCAUCUGCAGUUAAAAAGAAGAAAAGAAAGGUGAGGAGGCAAAAAAGGAAAAGAGAAGGAAGAAACUUGGUGUUCCUUCUAACUGCCUCAUUUCACAAACCAAGAAAUUGAGGAUCAGAGACAUGAGGUCAUUAAAGUCAUCCAGUUACUUAGUUGCUUAUUUCGACUAGGGUGGUUUCAGAAAGGAUGCAGAAAAGUACAAGUAUUUGAGAGCUACUUAGGGACUGUAUUAAUCAACACUGUAAUAAUCAGCUCUGUGUCCUUGGGUGCUGCGACAGCUGGGGGUCCACUGCUGCAGCUGAGAAAUAAAGUGUGAAGAACAAACAAAAACUGAGGGAGUCCAUUGCCACUAGACCUGCCUUAUAAGAAAUGUCAAAAAGAGCUCUCCUGUCUGAAAUGAAAAGGCAAAGGAUACAAAGCUUUAAACAAGUUGAUAAAUAGAUAAAAUCAGAAAACUGCAACUCUGUAUCAGAACAUGUUAGUAAACAAUUGUGAUGCAAAGGUUAAAGGGAAAGAAAGCAUUAAAAAUAACAUUAACCAUUCCAAUUUGGUAACAAAUUCACAAUAAAGAAAGAAAUAAUUUUGACAACAAAAAUAGCAAGGGAAGAAGAAAAGGACAGAACUUGCCUAGUCAAAUGAAGGAAAAAUGCUAUCAGCAGAAAAAGAACUAUCUCAUCUGUGAGACCUUUUAUACAAACCUCAUGGUAACCACAAAACAAAAAUUAAGGCAGAGUCACGAAACAUAAAAAAAGAGGAAACUGAAAAACACAUCACCAAAAACCGUCAAGCUGAAAUUGUAGUGAGAAACAUAAGGAAAAAGAAACAAAGGAAAUAUAGAGCAACCAUAAAACAAAAGAUAAAAUGGCAAUAGUAAGUCCCUAUAUAUCCAUAAUCAUCCUAAAUGUAAACGGAUUGAAUGCACCAAUGAAAAGACAGAGAGGCUGGACAGGUUAAGAAAAAGACCCAAAACCAGCCAGACUUACAAAGAAAAAAAGGGAGAAAGCUCAAAUAAACAAAAUCAGAAAUGAGCGAGGAGAAAUAACAACAGACUCUGCAGAAAUACAACAGAUUAUAAGAGAAUACUACAAAAAACUAUAUGCCAACAGAAUGGAUAACCUAGAGGAAAUG